rnacentral:sRNA from 1 species
AAAAACAUAAUUAAAUAUUCCCAUAAAUACUUAAUUAAACCAACCAAUAAAGCAACAUUUAAACCGCAAGUCAAAAAUACUAUUUUAUGAAUAAAUAAAUAAUUCAAAACCAAGAAUGACUAACAAUCCUAACACAACCCUAACCAGUUCCAAUAACCAAAACACUUAAAUAAAUCAAACGAGUUCCUAAAUCAUCCUCUCUUCCUUACCAUGAUUCCACGAUCACACUUUAUCUUUACCUACAUCAACAAUACAAUGAGAUGCGAAAGUAUUAUCAUAAAUACUUAGUGAGGCGAUCCUCCCAUCUAGAGGUAUACACACAAGCAAAUAAAAGGUUAUAAUC